AUUGAACGCUGGCGGCAGGCCUAACACAUGCAAGUCGGACGGUAGCACAGAGAGCUUGCUCUCGGGUGACGAGUGGCGGACGGGUGAGUAAUGUCUGGGGAACUGCCCGAUGGAGGGGGAUAACUACUGGAAACGGUAGCUAAUACCGCAUAACGUCUUCGGACCAAAGUGGGGGACCUUCGGGCCUCACACCAUCGGAUGUGCCCAGAUGGGAUUAGCUAGUAGGUGGGGUAAUGGCUCACCUAGGCGACGAUCCCUAGCUGGUCUGAGAGGAUGACCAGCCACACUGGAACUGAGACACGGUCCAGACUCCUACGGGAGGCAGCAGUGGGGAAUAUUGCACAAUGGGCGCAAGCCUGAUGCAGCCAUGCCGCGUGUAUGAAGAAGGCCUUCGGGUUGUAAAGUACUUUCAGCGGGGAGGAAGGCGAUGUGGUUAAUAACCUUGUCGAUUGACGUUACCCGCAGAAGAAGCACCGGCUAACUCCGUGCCAGCCGCCGCGGUAA
rnacentral:rRNA from 1 species